rnacentral:rRNA from 1 species
CCGGCUCGUUAUCUCGGCGAGCAGAGCACCGCAGCGCGCACACGCGUCGCCCGCCCGCCCGCUCGCUCGUCCGGGCGCCUCCUCCGUCUCCUCCGGAAUCCCGGAUGGCCACCGUCGCCGCCUCUCUCCCGCUCCGGGCCGCCGCCGUCCCGCGCACCACCCUCCGACGCAGCCUUCUUCCCCGGCCACCCGUGGCAGCGCGGGCUGGCGGCGAGGGGCCGGCCCUGGGGAUCGGUGGGGUGGUUCCGGGCGGAGGCUCUUCCCGGCGGUGCCGGCGGACCGCCGCGGAGGGAGCCCAUGGGACUGUCUGUGAUGUUAGAGAAGGCGCUUGUGGAUUUUGCGCGAGACAAGCUGGAGUAUAUUGAUAUUUGGAUCAACAAUGCCGGAUCAAAUGCAUAUAGUAUUAUAGUUACAAACCAUUGGUGGAAACCUCUGAUGAGGCUCUAAUUGAGGUGAUCACCACUAACACUCUUGGAUUGAUGCUAUGUUGUCGUGAGGCAAUAAAUAUGAUGUGGAACCAACCUCGAGGUCGUCACAUAUUUAACAUUGAUGAUGGAAGGCCAACCCCAAGGUUUGCAGCUUAUGGUGCAACGAAGAGAAGUGUGGUGCACCUUACAAAGUCUCUACAGGUAAAGCCUGGCAUGGUUACGACUGAUCUUCUUAUGUCUGGUGCUACCGCAAAGCAAGCAAAGUUUUUCAUCAAUAUAUUAGCUGAAACUCCUGAUGUGGUUGCGGAUUACCUUGUUCCAAACAUCAGAGAAAUCCCUACCAAGCAAUCCAUGAAGCCGACUUACAUUCGCUUUCUCACAGGCUUGAAAGCCUACUCCAGAAUAUUUUCAAGAAUUGCUUUUGGUGCUCGUAGGAACAAGUAUGUUGCCGAGGAUUAGUUUUCUUACUGCCAUCUUCCAACCCAGAAGAAACCUAGGGAUAUUCUUGUUAUCAUAUUUUAGAAGCCCAUUCUUUUCCUGUAAAAAUAGGAUGUAUCACUGAGGGCAUCUUGAGAACACAGCAAUGUACCCCUCAUAUAUACAAUACAUGUAAUUUGAUUACACCUCAUCAAAUUACAGUUCAUCUGGAUUAUUUAUGGACCUUAUGAUCUAGUUGCAUGUUGCAUUUUCAAUGCAAGAGGAGCCCAUGAUACAUCUAUGCACCUACA